AGAUUUCUCUUGUACAAUUUCUCAUUGAAAAUUGCCUUAAAAUAUUUGGAGAAGACAUCACUUCCCUCUUGGGAGAGAACUCAAUGAGUCGUGAUAACAGCGAGCAGGCUGCAGACUCCAGCCUGAAGACUGUGAAAACCCGUUCUUUCAGAGAUAGGGCGUUUUGUCGGGGUUCCAGCACUUCCCAGCACAACCAGUGCACAGCCCCAUCUUCCGCAAAGCCAGGACAGCUCUUUGGAGUUCCCCUCAUGGAUGUGUGUGAUAAAGACAACUUCUCCUUCCCAAUUCUGGAUUUUCUUAGAAAUAUACACGGAAGUAUAUUUUUAUCUGAUCACUAUGACAAAUGGCUCGGUGUUAUUGAUCAAGGCAACGAAGAGGAGAAGAUAACUGCAGCCCAGAGGUAAUGAUGCAAUAAUUACUCUGGUCACAUCUCCAAAAUACAGCCAACAUACUAUUAGGAAAACAUUGGCUUACGUUUUGCAGCUUUGCUCACUAUAAUCAUGACCAAUGCCAAAGAGUUUCCAUUCUUCACACCCAUGGGGGCCAGGUUCAUAAUGGAGACACACUUUAGGGCCAUUAUCGUUCUUUUCCUUAUCUUAUUAAUGUGGAAUCCUUGGCCGUUUUACAUCUUUUGGAUACAUGAAACUGUUAGGGGAAAUCCCCUGGUCCAAGACAGAUGCAAGAACAUCAAUUGCCAGGGCUAUGAGCUUAAAGGUCUGUCAAACAUUUAACUAACCAGAGAAGAUUUUAUCUGGCGCAGGAACUGAAGUCAGGGCAACAAUUUUGUAUACAUUCAUGCCUGGAACUCUGCUACAGCGGGUUGUGUGCUAGAUAUACAAGGAUGUAUCCUGUUCCCUGUCUUUUUUUUCAACCUCCUAAGUGGAAUCACUUGCCUAAUUUAAAUGUGUAUUUUUCUGACCUUAGGCUUUUACCCCAGCUGCCAAGAGGAAAUGUUGUUCUCCUGCGAUACCUUUUUGGAGUGCUAUACAACAUUGAGCAACAUUCCUCAUCCAAUCAGAUGACAGCUUAUAAUUUAUCCGUUUGUAUAGCCCCAAGCGUUCUUUACCCACCUGAUUCCGGCACCUUGGAAUUGGAAGACAACU